CUGCUCCAGGCCAUUCUCACAACAAAGCCCACCCCCCAAUCCCAGCUGGAGGAAUAUAGAAAUGACACACCCCGAGCCCUCCUGGAGAGAGUCCUGAAAUGGAUUAAAAGACAAAAAUCAGCUUUCUUCUUUGUGCUCACAGGGCCUAGAGGAGCCUCCAGGCUCCUGAAGGGGGCCAAGUACUUCCAGCCUGGAGUUUGUGGGUGGAAGAAAGAAGAUGGCCAUGUGGGACAGGAACUGCUUUACCCCCUCACUCUGCUGAGUCUGGAGGUUGGUGCUUGCUCACCACUUGGGGCAGGUCAUCUUCCCUCUCUGGGCCUCAGUUUCUACAUAAGUAACAGGGUGGAAUGUAGGUUGGGCUAGAUUCCCUCUAAGGGCCUUUUUAGCUCUAAAUUUCUCUGAAUCUAUUUGCAUCCACAGGAAGUUACAUAAACACAUACACUCAUACAUGGAUCAAAGUCUUUGUUUACCUCCAGGGUUCCUAGCUCUUUCCUGUUCAGCAAAAGAAAUUUGGCUCAGGAUGGAUGAAGGGGGAAAUAGGCAAAUACUACUUCUCCAGGUAACCAGUAGCCGAGCAGCCUCCGCCAGCUGUCUUUUGUGCCAGCUUGGCUGUUGAAGCCCAAGUAACUGGCAGAGACUCCUGCCAUGCCAUUCUCCUUCAAACCUCUGUCAUCUGCUUGCCCACAAAUGUCCUCGUCCCAUUCUCCAUGCAAGCAUUGGUCCUCUGGCAAAUUCACACCAACAUAAUUCCAAACUGCACAUCUAUUUCCACAUUCUCUCAUCAGUAAAUUGCUUUGUCACUUUGCCAAUGACUUAGCAGCAAUAGGGCUCCCCAGCUACCUAUUGCUUCCCUCAUCAUCCCUCGCCCUCUAGAGUUCCUUUGGAGGGUUCAGAAUGAAUCAAGGGUCCAGUGGAGAUCCUAUUUCCUUUAUCAUCCCCUCCAUGUCUGGAGAAUAGAAUGGUAUCAGGAUGCUCUUUAGGGGCACAAUUAGGAAGACUUUUCCUCCUCUCUCCUCACACCUUUCUGGCCUCAGAACCAGUCCUCUCUUUCAGGUCUUCCCUCCAUCCCUGAGAGACCCUGGUAGUAUCAAAGUCUCUAAGGUAUGGUGGAAAGAGAUAAGGAGUCACACUAGUAGUUGUGGGAAGCAGGCUGGCUCCUGUAAGCUGUCUGUAGGGUAAUGAAAGGAGGACUUUGCCCACAGUAGGGGCUCUACACAUGAUGGUUGGCUGGUUCCUAGGAUGGGUGAAAGAACAUAAAGGCCACAAGUUCUGUGGGUCCCAGAGGCCUGCUGCUCCAACAUUGUGCCAGGAAGAUUCUUCUGAACAC
ensembl:lncRNA novel transcript, antisense to EDA